UACGUAGGUGGCAAGCGUUGUCCGGAUUUAUUGGGUUUAAAGGGUGCGUAGGCGGUUCUCUAAGUCAGUUGUGAAAUACGGCAGCUUAACUGUCGAGGUGCAAUUGAUACUGGAGGACUUGAGUACUGAUGAGGUAGGCGGAAUGGACGGUGUAGCGGUGAAAUGCUUAGAUAUCAGGAGGAACACCAAUGGCGAAGGCAGCUCGCUGGAACGGUACUGACGCUGAGGCGCGAAAGCGUGGGGAGCGAACAGG
rnacentral:rRNA from 1 species